CUCGAACUAUUUUUGUCCACAGAUACGGAUUCCAGUCCUCGAUAACACUCCUCUUCAGCCCUUCCUCGACACACUCCACUUCAGCCCUUAAUUUCCAGCCGACUCCACUCCAGGUAAGUUUAAAGCAAGAGCUAGGCAGUUGACGUGCAGGGACUUUCUGGCUCUGGGGGGGGGGGGUGGACUUCAAGACCCAAGGCUGAGCUGUUAGCGUGCAGGGGUUCUAGCUCUCAGGUAAGUACAAAGUUCAAUACACAGGUGGGUAUUCACAGGGCUGGGCUGUUAGCGUGCAGGGGUUCUAGCUCCCAGGUAAGUACAGCGUUCAAUACACAGGUGGGUAUUCACAGGGCUGGGCUGUUAGCGUGCAGGGGUUCUAGCUCCCAGGUAAGUACAGCGUUCAAUACACAAGUGGGUAUUCGCAGGGCUGGGCUGUUAGCGUGCAGGGGUUCUAGCUCUCAGGUAAGUACAGAAUUCAAUACACAGGUGAGCAUUCACAGGGCUGGGCUGUUAACUGGCUACUCACCACUGAAGAUAUUCAGAGGUCGGUAUUCCAAGCAGAUACGGGUUUGGUCGAUGACUGACGGCUGGUGGGCCUUACAGGUGAGACUGCAAACAAUACUGGGCUUCCCGCCCAGCUUGGCAAGGGGGCACACGGGGGAGGAUCGGCUGUUGUCCUUCGCUUCCCUCGUCAAAGAGACAGCACAGACGACACGCACAAGGCCGGUGGUUGCUGACAAGGCCAAUGACACAACGUCACGUGGAUGAAA
ensembl:lncRNA